UACGUAGGGUGCAAGCGUUAAUCGGAAUUACUGGGCGUAAAGCGUGCGCAGGCGGUUUUGUAAGUCUGAUGUGAAAUCCCCGGGCUCAACCUGGGAAUUGCAUUGGAGACUGCAAUGCUAGAAUCUGGCAGAGGGGGGUAGAAUUCCACGUGUAGCAGUGAAAUGCGUAGAGAUGUGGAGGAACACCGAUGGCGAAGGCAGCCCCCUGGGUCAAGAUUGACGCUCAUGCACAAAAGCGUGGGGAGCAAACAGG
rnacentral:rRNA from 1 species